rnacentral:rRNA from 1 species
CCUACGGGCGGCAGCAGUGGGGAAUAUUGGACAAUGGGGGAAACCCUGAUCCAGCGACGCCGCGUGAGUGAAGAAGUAUUUCGGUACGUAAAGCUCUAUCAGCAGGAAAGAAAAUGACGGUACCUGACUAAGAAGCCCCGGCUAACUACGUGCCAGCAGCCGCGGUAAUACGUAGGGGGCAAGCGUUAUCAUGAUUUAAUGGGGGUAAAGGGAGCGUAGACGGCAGCGCAAGUCUGGUGUGAAAUGCCGGGGGCCAACCCCGGAACUGCGCUGGAAACUGUGAAGCUGGAGUGCAGGAGAGGUAAGCGGAAUUCCUGGUGUAGCGGUGAAAUGCGUAGAUAUCAGGAAGAACACCGGCGGCGAAGGCGGCUUACUGGACUGUAACUGACGUUGAGGCUCGAAGGCGUGGGGAGCGAACAGGAUUAGAUACCCGAGUAGUC